rnacentral:rRNA from 1 species
GAUGAACGCUGGCGGCGUGCCUAAUACAUGCAAGUCGAGCGAACAGAUGAGGAGCUUGCUCCUCUGACGUUAGCGGCGGACGGGUGAGUAACACGUGGAUAACCUACCUAUAAGACUGGGAUAACUUCGGGAAACCGGAGCUAAUACCGGAUAAUAUAUUGAACUGCAUGGUUCAAUAGUGAAAGACGGUUUUGCUGUCACUUAUAGAUGGAUCCGCGCCGGAUUAGCUAGUUGGUAAGGUAACGGCUUACCAAGGCACCGACGCGUAGCCGACCUGAGAGGGUGAUCGGCCACGCUGGAACUGAGACACGUUCCAGACGCCUACGGGAGGCAGCUGUAGGGAAUCUUCCGCGAUGGGCGAAAGCCUGACGGAGCAACGCCGCGUGAGUGAUGAAGGUCUUCGGAUCGUAAAGCUCUGUUAUUAGGGAAGAACAAAUGUGUAAGUAACGAUGCACGUCUUGACGGUACCUAAGCAGAAAGCCACGGCUAACUACGU